UGAGGAAUUUUCCACAAUGGGGGCAACCCUGAUGGAGCAAUACUACGUGAAGGAGGAAGGUCUACGGAUUGUAAACUUCUGUUAGUGCGGAAGAAGGACUGAGCGCAAGUUCAGUUUUGACGGUACGCACAGAGAAAGCCACGACUAACUACGUGCCAGCAGUCGCGGUAAGACGUAGGUGGCGAACGUUAUCCGGAAUCAUUGGGCGUAAAGGGUGCGUAGAUGGCAUGAUAAGUUAUUAGUGGGAAAUCGAGGCUCAACCUCGCGGAAGCUGAUAAUACUGUUUUGCUUGAGUGCAGGAGAGGUUAACGGAACUCCAUGUGGAGCGGUAAAAUGCGUAGAUAUAUGGAAGAACAUCAAUAACGGCGAAGGCAGUUAACUAUUCUGCUACUGACAUUGAGGCACGAAAGCGUGGGGAGCAAAA
rnacentral:rRNA from 1 species